UCUUCCUGUGCUCCUGCCCUCUACCUCCUCCUGUCUACAAGCAAUCUAGAGAACAGAAAAAUGAACCUUCCCUCUAAAACUUUUCCCUUCUCAGACUUUUUUCAUUUCAUCAUAGUCCGGAUCCGUGCUCCCCAAUGCCGGUGAUAUUUACAUUUUCUCCAGCAAUGCAGAUGGUUGCCUUCUUGCUGCAGUCUUCAAAUGGCCAUCCUUCUGAGCACUGACAUGGGAAGGGAAAAGGACAGAAAAAAUAAAGCCAGAGAUACAUCUUCCUGUGACCAGGAUUCAUCAUGGAAUUCCCACCAAAUCCUGGGCAGCUCAGAAGGCAGUAUAAAGACAGCAUGAGGAUCCCAAAUGUGCACAUAACAGGCUCCAAAUGAUGAAAGCCCUUGAGUGGAACUUGAGGGAAAA